UGCAAGUCGAACGAUGAUGCCCAGCUUGCUGGGCGGAUUAGUGGCGAACGGGUGAGUAACACGUGAGUAACCUGCCCUUGACUUCGGGAUAACUCCGGGAAACCGGGGCUAAUACCGGAUAUGAGCCGCCUUCGCAUGGGGGUGGUUGGAAAGUUUUUCGGUCAGGGAUGGGCUCGCGGCCUAUCAGCUUGUUGGUGGGGUGAUGGCCUACCAAGGCGACGACGGGUAGCCGGCCUGAGAGGGCGACCGGCCACACUGGGACUGAGACACGGCCCAGACUCCUACGGGAGGCAGCAGUGGGGAAUAUUGCACAAUGGGCGAAAGCCUGAUGCAGCGACGCCGCGUGAGGGAUGAAGGCCUUCGGGUUGUAAACCUCUUUCAGCAGGGAAGAAGCGCAAGUGACGGUACCUGCAGAAGAAGCGCCGGCUAACUACGUGCCAGCAGCCGCGGUAAUACGUAGGGCGCAAGCGUUGUCCGGAAUUAUUGGGCGUAAAGAGCUCGUAGGCGGUUUGUCGCGUCUGGUGUGAAAACUCGAGGCUCAACCUCGAGCUUGCAUCGGGUAC
rnacentral:rRNA from 1 species